rnacentral:rRNA from 1 species
GAUGAACGCUGGCGGCGUGCUUAACACAUGCAAGUCGAGCGAUGAAGUUUCCUUCGGGAAACGGAUUAGCGGCGGACGGGUGAGUAACACGUGGGUAACCUGCCUCAUAGAGUGGAAUAGCCUUCCGAAAGGAAGAUUAAUACCGCAUAAUGUUGAAAGAUGGCAUCAUCAUUCAACCAAAGGAGCAAUCCGCUAUGAGAUGGACCCGCGGCGCAUUAGCUAGUUGGUGGGGUAACGGCCUACCAAGGCGACGAUGCGUAGCCGACCUGAGAGGGUGAUCGGCCACAUUGGGACUGAGACACGGCCCAGACUCCUACGGGAGGCAGCAGUGGGGAAUAUUGCACAAUGGGGGAAACCCUGAUGCAGCAACGCCGCGUGAGUGAUGAAGGUUUUCGGAUCGUAAAGCUCUGUCUUUGGGGAAGAUAAUGACGGUACCCAAGGAGGAAGCCACGGCUAACUACGUGCCAGCCGCCGCAGUAAAAC